AAAAUGAUGCAAACCUGAUUCUUAUAAAAAACAAAUUUAUUGUGUAUUAGCUGAGGUUUUCCAGUUACUUGAGGUGUCCUGAAGGAAGCAUAGCCUGUGCCAAAUUCCAGCCCUCAUCCCUUUUUUUUUUAAGCUGUUCAGAAACUUCUCUAGUUUAAUAAAAACAGUGUAAUUUAUCACACCUCCUCCACAAGCACCUUCCUUAUGUGAAUUAAAGGAACCCAUGAACAGAUGGGAAAUCAGAGGAGCCAGAAGGUCUCAUGGAGCAAUCCUGGAUGUUCCUUCCCCUGGGAGGUGGGUGCAGCUCAGGGAACUUCCUUCUAAACUGAGGAAGUGGGAAGCAUGAAGUGCUAAUUUUGCAGAGGGAAUGACACUGGGUUUUCAUGGCAUCCUGGAAUGGUCUGGGUUGGAAAGGACCUUAAAGACCAGGGGCAGGGACAUCUUCUUUAAAGCCCCAUCCAAACACUUGAGGAUGGAUGCCCUGGCCUCAAACACUUCCAGAGAUGGGGAAUUAAAUUCCCCACAACUUUUCCAAGGACAAAUACCUUUUUUGCCUCCUCAAGCCUCUCCCCCAGCCCCACAAUGAACCUCCGGCUUUAUCUCGGCUGGACAAAGAGCCGAAAAUCCAAAUGCUGGAUUUGGGGUGGAAAGCUGAGAAACCUGGAGGUGUCCUAAAUCGUCUUGCUGUCCCGAUGGAUCCAUGGGGUUUAUCCCGCAUUCCGAGGGUGAUGCUGCCUUGUGGCCGGGCAAGCUGGAAGGUGACGAUUCAUUUCACCGCGAAUAAGAUGAAAAAUGACGAGUAACACGAAACCGAGCAUCUCUAGCAACUCCCUGCCGGGACCUCGGCGUCGGGAUGCUCCCGGUUUCCGCCGGAUGCGGGAAAAGCACCAUUCCCAGCGUUUGGCGAGGGAGGGGAGCUCGUGGGCGGGGGUGGGCGCGGGAGGCUCUGGCGAGGAGCUCUGGGGCUUCCUGUUUCCUUCCGCAGCUCGAGCAGAAUUUGAAAGCAGCGGCUGCCGUGAGCUGGACCAAUGAUCGGGGCACAGCGCGCCCGGGCCGCCCGCGCCCGUUACGGCCCCGGGGCUGCGCUUCCCGGCUCCCCCUGGGAACACCGGGAACCCCCGGCCCGGGGGCGGCCCGGACCCACCACCCACGGGAAUCAGCAGAAGCAUGGCUGUCCCGCUGGGAUUAAGACUGGAAAGGGGGAUCUUGUUCCCUUCCCAAUUAUUUAAUGGUGGGAAACAAGUGCAGUCAGCACUUUGGGAUUUUUCCACCCACUCCCAUGAAAACAUACCCAGUUCUGGAUGUUCCCUCUUCCCAUCUCAGAUGUUCCAGAGGAUGUGGGGAAGGAGCCAUGGAUCCGUUUUGGGAACACGUUGUCUGCCUGAAACAUGUCAGAAUCGGCCACAAAUUGCAGAUGAGACUGAUAACAAAAGCCAACAACAGAAAAUAGGUAGAAAAACAACACGGUGGAGGCUGAGAGACCACUGAAGGGCUUUUUUGUGUGUGU